UACGGAGGGAGCUAGCGUUAUUCGGAAUUACUGGGCGUAAAGCGCACGUAGGCGGCUUUGUAAGUAAGAGGUGAAAGCCCAGAGCUCAAACUCUGGAAUUGCCUUUUAGACUGCAUCGCUUGAAUCAUGGAGAGGUCAGUGGAAUUCCGAGUGUAGAGGUGAAAUUCGUAGAUAUUCGGAAGAACACCAGUGGCGAAGGCGGCUGACUGGACAUGUAUUGACGCUGAGGUGCGAAAGCGUGGGGAGCAAACAGG
rnacentral:rRNA from 1 species